rnacentral:lncRNA from 1 species
AUUGAUUACUUAACAAACUGUUACAAUAUAUGGGUUUAUAUAUCCUAAGGUUUCCACAUGAACUCUAAUAAACCCUUGCUCAAAAAACUUUCAUAGCUAACCCAUAUGAGAUUGCACUCACCCAAGGCCAUGUACACCCAUGACUUGACCCAAUCUCACCCUUGGAUCCAAACCCAGUCCAAUAUAAGUUAGCCCUUUGAGGCCCAAAACCCCUGAACCUCCAGUCUCUGAAGGCUGACAGCCUUCACCCUAAGAUCCAAACCGGCCC